rnacentral:rRNA from 1 species
AGCAUCCUACGGGAGGCAGCAGUGGGGAAUAUUGCACAAUGGGCGCAAGCCUGAUGCAGCCAUGCCGCGUGUAUGAAGAAGGCCUUCGGGUUGUAAAGUACUUUCAGCAGUGAGGAAGGUGGGUAUGUUAAUAGCAUACUCAUUUGACGUUAGCUGCAGAAGAAGCACCGGCUAACUCCGUGCCAGCAGCCGCGGUAAUACGGAGGGUGCGAGCGUUAAUCGGAAUUACUGGGCGUAAAGCGCAUGCAGGUGGUUUGUUAAGUCAGAUGUGAAAGCCCGGGGCUCAACCUCGGAAUUGCAUUUGAAACUGGCAAACUAGAGUACUGUAGAGGGGGUAGAAUUUCAGGUGUAGCGGUGAAAUGCGUAGAGAUCUGAAGGAAUACCGGUGGCGAAGGCGGCCCCCUGGACAGAUACUGACACUCAGAUGCGAAAGCGUGGGGAGCAAACAGGAUUAGAUACCCUGAUAG